rnacentral:tRNA from 1 species
AGGUAUUUAGAAUAGUCUGGCGUUCAUGUGUGGUGACGGUCACACAAGGCCUUGGUUCGAAUCCAAGAGUACCUUCA